rnacentral:rRNA from 1 species
GGACCCGCACAAGCAGUGGAGUAUGUGGUUUAAUUCGACGAUACGCGAAAAUCUUACCAGGUCUUGACAUCCAACUAACGAGGUGGAAACACAUUAGGUGCCCCUUCGGGGGAAAGUUGAGACAGGUGGUGCAUGGUUGUCGUCAGCUCGUGUCGUGAGAUGUUGGGUUAAGUCCCGCAACGAGCGCGACCCUUACGGUUAGUUGCUACGCAAGAGCACUCUAGUCGGACUGCCGUUGACAAAACGGAGGAAGGUGGGGACGACGUCAAAUCCUCAUGCCCUUUAUGACCUGGGCAACACACGUACUACAAUGAUCGAUACAACGGGAGGCCAAGGCGCGAGCCGGAGCAGAUCCUACAAAAAUCGGUCUCAGUUCGGAUUGUAGGCUGAAACUCGCCUGCAUGAAGUUGGAAUUGCUAGUAAUCGCGGAUCAGCAUGCCG